AUUAUGCCCUAUGGGGCAAAAAUGGGAAUGGGGAAGGGUAAAUGGGGAUUGGGGACUUACCGCCCCGCCAAGGUCCGAAUGGGGCGGUAAGUCCGCCAACCACCAUGGCGUAAACGUAGUUUACGCCAUGGUGGUAAAGUCACGGCCCAGGCGGUAACUUACCGCCUGGGUCGUGAUGAGGCCCCAAGACUAAUCCGGGAUCGCCAGCCCUUUGGUGAUGCUAGAUAACCUUGGGCCGAUUGCAAGUCCCCAUGACGACGAAGAUGCAUUCGGAUGUGUGCCCUAUCAACUUUCGAUGGUACUUUCUGUGCCUACCAUGGUGACCAUGGGUAAUGGGGAAUCAGUGUUGGAUUCCAGAGAGGGAGCCUGAGAAAUGGCUACCACACCCAAGGAAGACAGCAUACGCGCAAAUUACCACUCCCGACUCCGGGAGGUAGUGAUGAAAAAUAACAAUAUAGGACUCUUUCGAGGCACUGUAAUUGGAAUGAGUACACUUUAAAUCCUUUAACGAGUACCCAUUGAAGGGCAAGUCUGAUGUCAGCAGCCACGGUAAUUCCUUUGAGUACCCAUUGGAGGCAAGUCUGAUGUCAGCACCCACAGUAAUUCCAGCUCCAAUAGCGUAUAUUAAAGUUGCUGCAGUUAUAAAUCUCAAAGUUGGAUCUUGGGAUCGAGCUGGCGGUCCGCCGUGAGGUGAUCUACCGCCUGUCCCAGCCCCUGCACCUUGGCACCCCCUUGAAGCUCUUGCAUGAGUUUCCUGGAGGUCUGAAGCGUUUACUUUGAAAAAAUGUGAUUGUUCAAAGAAGGCUGGUCGCCUGAAUACUUCAGAUAGGAAUAAUGGAAUAGGACUCCGGUUCUAUUUUGUUGUUUUUCAGAACUGGGGCCAUAAGAUGGCCGGGGGCACUCGUAUUGGGCCGCUACAGGUGAAAUUCUUGGACCGGCGCAAGACGAACCAAAGUGAAAGCAUUAGCCAAGAAUGUUUUCAUUAAUCAAGAACGAAAGUCUGAGGUUCAAAGAUGAUCUGAUAACGUUGUAGCUCCCACCAUAAACUAUGCAGACUAGCGAUCUGUCGGCAUUUUUUGCCAUGACCUGCUGACCACUUUCUGCAAAUCCAAAGUGUUUGGGUUCCUGGAGAGUAUGGUUGCAAAGCUGAAACUUAAAGGAAUUGAUGGAAGUGCACCACCAUGAAACCUCACCCGGUCCGGACACGCAAAGGAUUGACAGAUUGAUAGUUCUUUCUUGAUUCUGUGGGUGGUGGUGCAUGGCCGUUCUUAGUUGGUGGAGCGAUUUUUCUGGUUAAUUCUGAUAACGAAUGAGACUCCUCCCUGCUAACUAGUUAUGCAAACCCACCCCCCCCCCAGCGGUCAGGGUUCAAAUUCUUAGAGGGACUAAUUGCGUUUAGUCACACGAAAUUGAUCAAUAACAGGUCUGUGAUGCCUUUAGAUGUCUGGGGCUGCACGCGAGCUACACAGAACCGAUCAUCGUUUGUCUACCCUUCUCAGACAGGUGCAGCUAAGCCGCUGAACCCUGUUUGUGAUAGGGAUUGGGGAUUGCAAUUAUUUCCCAUGAUCAAGGAAUUUCCAGUAAGUGCGGGUCAUAAGCUUGCGUUGAUUAAGUCCUUGCCCUUUGUACACACUGUCCAUCGCUACUACGAUUUGGAUGGUUUAGUGAGGUACUUGGAUUGGCCCCCACUGGGGUCGGCAACGGCCCUGAAUGAGUGGCGAGAAGACUAUCAAACUUGACUAUCUAGGGAAAGUGAAAGUCGUACGGGUUGGGUUAGCCUGCCGGGGAUGU
rnacentral:rRNA from 1 species